rnacentral:rRNA from 1 species
GAUGAACGCUGGCGGCGUGCUUAACACAUGCAAGUCGAACGGGAAACCUUUUAUUGAAGCUUCGGCAGAUUUAGCUGGUUUCUAGUGGCGGACGGGGGAGUAACGCGUGGGUAACCUGCCUUAUACAGGGGGAUAACAACCAGAAAUGGUUGCUAAUACCGCAUAAGCGCACAGGACCGCAUGGUCCGGUGUGAAAAACUCCGGUGGUAUAAGAUGGACCCGCGUUGGAUUAGCUAGUUGGCAGGGUAACGGCCUACCAAGGCGACGAUCCAUAGCCGGCCUGAGAGGGUGAACCGCCACAUUGGGACUGAGACACGGCCCAGACUCCUACGGGAGGCAGCAGUGGGGAAUAUUGCACAAUGGGGGAAACCCUGAUGCAGCGACGCCGCGUGAAGGAAGAAGUAUCUCGGUAUGUAAACUUCUAUCAGCAGGGAAGAUAGUGACGGUACCUGACUAAGAAGCCCCGGCUAACUACGUG